CAGCUGCUCCGCACACACGUCGCUGGAUCGAUACUCUGCCUGGAAACACCGUAAACUACCGGAACCAGCGGCUCACACACACGGACCGUCUCACAGGCUACGUGAGGGUCGAUUAGGUUGACGAGUGUGAUGAUGGGAGGAGAUCAGAGCCAUGAGAGGAAGGCUGAGGAGGAAGAGGAGGAGACGUCAGGAGAGAAACACCAAGAGUCAGAAAGCAGCUCAGGAUCUGCUGCUGAAGACGCUGCAGAGCUGCCUCAGUGCCGGAUGGGGAACAGGACAGUGGACAAUACGUGUUUCAUGAUCUCGUGCACUAACUGGUACUGAAGUGAUCCUGCAACACAGAGGAUCAGAAGUUAAUGUGAGCAAGACUGAGAGAGAAGCUGGAAAAUAUGGCGUUUGAACUGUGGGCCAGAUGCUGCAUUCAAGAACCCACCGAAAACCCCAGCGUCACAUUCUGCUCCUGAGAGGACGAGUUUGGAGAUUCCUGCAGAGUGAAUCUGAAGUUAGAGGAUGAGUGAAGCUUCUCUGUAACGCUGACUCAUGCUUGUGUGCUUUGACCUUUGACCUGCUGUUCUUUAGACAUCCUGUAUUAUACUCUGACAGGAGCUGACUGCAUUCCUUUUCACUUGAAGUUAAAAUAGUGUGUUCCUGUUACAACCCUGGAUGUUUUAGGGGCACAUGCAGGUGUUUGCAGUGGAAAAAAAAGAUUAAGCGGACAAAAUGUUUUAUUUUCUUAUUGAUUUUUUUUCUGUAUCACCUCGAGUGUUUCACAUAAAACAUUCACAGAAAAGCGUUGGGAGGUUUCCCAAAUUAUACCCUUAUUAACACAUAAUCACUGCAGUGUCUGUUUAGUUUUGGAGGGACUUUGGUACUAAAAACACUAACGCUGAAACAUUUGGACGGCUGAAGCUUGAUAUUAGCUUUUAAAUACAUUUCUGCGCAGAAGGAGGACUGUGGAUUUAGUCCUCCAUCACUUCCAUUGUAAACAUUAUGAAGGGAUCUUCUAAUGGUCAGUAUGAACAGGAGGAAUCAUUACAGCAAGAUAAACACACUUCAUGAUCAUUUAAGCUGCUGACUGUGAACCUGUGCUUUAAAACUGCUGUAAAUAAAGGAAUCAUAAUUAAGAUGACUGGCAGCUUUUAUUCUCUAUUAAAACUCU